rnacentral:tRNA from 1 species
GGGGCUGUAGCUCAGUGGUAGAGUGCCUGCCUAGCAUGCAUGAGGCACUGGGUUCAAUCCUCUGCACCA